GCCGGGCGCGGUGGCGCACGCCUGUAGUCCCAGCUACUCGGGAGGCUGAGACAGGAGGAUCGCUUGAGUCCAGGAGUUCUGGGCUGUAGUGCGCUAUGCCGAUCGGGUGUCCGCACUAAGUUCGGCAUCAAUAUGGUGACCUCCCGGGAGCGGGGGACCACCAGGUUGCCUAAGGAGGGGUGAACCGGCCCAGGUCGGAAACGGAGCAGGUCAAAACUCCCGUGCUGAUCAGUAGUGGGAUCGCGCCUGUGAAUAGCCACUGCACUCCAGCCUGGGCAACAUAGCGAGAC
rnacentral:SRP_RNA from 2 species